rnacentral:rRNA from 1 species
CAGCAGCCGCGGGAAUACGAAGGGGGCUAGCGUUGCUCGGAAUUACUGGGCGUAAAGGGAGCGUAGGCGGAUCGUUAAGUUGGGGGUGAAAGCCCGGGGCUCAACCUCGGAAUUGCCUUCAAUACUGGCGAUCUUGAGUAUGGAAGAGGUAUGUGGAACUCCGAGUGUAGAGGUGAAAUUCGUAGAUAUUCGGAAGAACACCAGUGGCGAAGGCGACAUACUGGUCCAUUAUUGACGCUGAGGCUCGAAAGCGUGGGGAGCAAACAGGAUUAGAUACCCGAGUAGUCCCUGUCUCUUAUAC